GUCCCCUUAGUGCAGCGGUCAGCACAUCAGAUUCUCAGUCUGAGAACAUGGGUUCGAGUCCCAUAGGGGAUGCCA
rnacentral:tRNA from 1 species